UGGGGAAUUUUGGACAAUGGGGGAAACCCUGAUCCAGCCAUCCCGCGUGUGCGAUGAAGGCCUUCGGGUUGUAAAGCACUUUUGGCAGGAAAGAAACGUCGCGGGUUAAUACCCCGCGGAACUGACGGUACCUGCAGAAUAAGCACCGGCUAACUACGUGCCAGCAGCCGCGGUAAUACGUGAGGGUGCAAGCGUUAAUCGGAAUUACUGGGCGUAAAGCGUGCGCAGGCGGUUCGGAAAGAAAGAUGUGAAAUCCCAGAGCUUAACUUUGGAAACUGCAUUUUUAACUACCGGGCUAGAGUGUGUCAGAGGGAGGUGGAAUUCCGCGUGUAGCAGUGAAAUGCGUAGAUAUGCGGAGGAACACCGAUGGCGAAGGCAGCCUCCUGGGAUAACACUGACGCUCAUGCACGAAAGCGUGGGGAGCAAACAGGAUUAGAUACCCUGGUAGUCCACGCCCUAAACGAUGUCAACUAGCUGUUGGGGUCUUCGGACCUUGGUAGCGCAGCUAACGCGUGAAGUUGACCGCCUGGGGAGUACGGUCGCAAGAUUAAAACUCAAAUGAAUUG
rnacentral:rRNA from 1 species